GCUUUAGAAGUAAUUUAGAAGAGGAAGACUUAACUAUGAGUGAUUUUUGAUUGAUUUAAGGUAAGUGGCUUCCUAAACAUUGUAUUCUAGUUGAAUUCUCAUGCUUCCUUCGUUGAUUGUGUGUUGGGAGUAAUGGGGAUGAGGUGAAGGGUUUAAAUUGUCCACUUGUUAUAUCUAAAUAAAUAAAAAGGGGUUUAAAUGAAAAAGGCUAUGUGAUGAACAUGAUGAUGUGAAUUGCCUUACUGUGACCCUUGUUGAUUGAUUGAUGAAUGGCUUGAAAGCAUGAUUGUGGACUAGAAUUGUAUGAAUUGUUGUCUCUUCCGCGUGGUGUGAUAUUGCUUGUAUGCAUUGGUUGUGAAUAUCGUGAUGAGACAUGUGAUGAUUUAUGAUGCAAGGUCUUUAACGACGAGUGUUUAUAAAGCUGAUUGGAAAUGGUUCUGGCUAGUGAUUUGAUAUAAAGCUGAUGGGAAAUUGUUUUGGGGUGCAACAAGAGUUUGUAUUCUCAAAUGAUAUCAGAGGGGUUUGCAUGUAUUGUGGAAAUUCCUAGUGAUAUAAAGCCGAUAGAAAAUGGUCCCAACUAGUGAUAUGGGAAAUGGUUCCGGCUAGUGAUAUGAUAUAAAACCGAUUAAAAAUGGUUUCGGCUAGUGAUGUGAUAUAAAGUCGAUGGGAAAUGAUUUCAGCUAGUGAUAUGAUAUAAAGCCGAUGGCAAAUGGUUUCGGCUAGUGAUAUUGUGCCGAUUGGAAAUGGUUCCGGCAAGAGAUUGAUUAUUGUGACUUGAUGCAUUUAAUGCUUUUGAGUGGCUUACUUGUUGAUUGUGAUUAAUGUACUUAUUACGUUUUACUGAACUACUUGUCAUUGAGAUUGACUUAUUUUAUUUGUUUGAUUGUUGAAUUGUGAAGAUUGAACUGUGAAUAUUGGGCAUGUGAGCCGUGUAUUGUAGAAAUUCUAGGCUGGGCUGAUUUCUAUGUAGGUUUUAGUUUGAGAAGGUUUGGAUGAAGUGUAAGGGGUAUUCUAUUUCUAGCUAGAUGCUUUGUUUAGUAGGUUACUUGUUGGGUACCGUGUUGUUGGUACUCACCCCAUGGCUUCUACACUUGUGUAGGUUCCAAACUCGGAUCCGUGUGAUCUUCUUCUUCUCCCUCUCCUGACAGUUGAGGCUCGUGAAGGAUUUGAGAGGUAGCUGCUAGUCAUCCUGACAGACCUUUUUUUCUUUUUUUUAAGCUUUGUUCUACUUGAGGUACAAAGAUUGAGACUUGUAUUUAUUUUUGAAUUCUGUAUUUUCUUUAGUGGCUUGUAUACGUAACAACUAGAUUUUGG
rnacentral:lncRNA from 1 species